rnacentral:rRNA from 1 species
AAUGGGCGCAAGCCUGAUGCAGCCAUGCCGCGUGUGUGAUGAAGGCCUUAGGGUUGUAAAACACUUUCAUCGGUGAAGAUAAUGACGGUAGCCGAAGAAGAAGCCCCGGCUAACUCCGUGCCAGCAGCCGCGGUAAUACGGAGGGGGCAAGCGUUGUUCGGAAUUACUGGGCGUAAAGCGCACGUAGGCGGACUGGUCAGCUGGGGGUGAAAUCCCGAGGCUUAACCUCGGAACUGCCUUCAAUACUGCCAGUCUUGAGAUCGGAAGAGGUGAGUGGAAUUCCUAGUGUAGAGGUGAAAUUCGUAGAUAUUAGGAAGAACACCAGUGGCGAAGGCGGCUCACUGGUCCGAUACUGACGCUGAGGUGCGAAAGCGUGGGGAGCGAACAGGAUU